UACGUAGGGCGCAAGCGUUGUCCGGAAUUAUUGGGCGUAAAGAGCUCGUAGGCGGCUUGUCACGUCGGAUGUGAAAGCCCGGGGCUUAACUCCGGGUCUGCAUUCGAUACGGGCAGGCUAGAGUUCGGUAGGGGAGAUCGGAAUUCCUGGUGUAGCGGUGAAAUGCGCAGGUAUCAGGAGGAACACCGGUGGCGAAGGCGGAUCUCUGGGCCGAUACUGACACUGAGGAGCGAAAGCGUGGGGAGCGAACAGG
rnacentral:rRNA from 1 species